rnacentral:rRNA from 1 species
UGUGCCAGCAGCCGCGGUAAUACGGAAGGUCCGGGCGUUAUCCGGAUUUAUUGGGUUUAAAGGGAGCGCAGGCCGAUGGUUAAGCGUGACGUGAAAUGUAGCCGCUCAACGGCUGAACUGCGUCGCGAACUGGCUGUCUUGAGUGAGUUCGAUGUGGGCGGAAUUCGUCGGUGUAGCGGUGAAAUGCUUAGAUAUCACGAAGAACUCCGAUUGCGAAGGCAGCCCACAAGGCCUUUACUGACGCUAAAGCUCGAAGGUGCGGGUAUCGAACAGGAUUAGAUACCCUGGUAGUCCGCACGGUAAACGAUGGAUGCCCGCUGUUUGCGAUAUACUGUGAGCGGCCAAGAGAAAUCGUUAAGCAUCCCACCUGGGGAGUACGCCGGCAACGGUGAAACUCAAAGGAAUUGACGGGGGCCCGCACAAGCGGAGGAACAUGUGGUUUAAUUCGAUGAUACGCGAGGAACCUUACCCGGGCUUGAACUGCAGCGGAAGGAUACAGAGAUGUUGACGUCCUUCGGGACCGCUGUGGAGGUGCUGCAUGGUUGUCGUCAGCUCGUGCCGUGAGGUGUCGGCUUAAGUGCCAUAACGAGCGCAACCCUUUUCAUCAGUUGCCAUCAGGUGAUGCUGGGCACUCUGGUGAUACUGCCACCGUAAGGUGUGAGGAAGGUGGGGAUGACGUCAAAUCAGCACGGCCCUUACGUCCGGGGCUACACACGUGUUACAAUGGGGCAUACAGAAGGCGGGACCAUGGCAACAUGGUUCAAAUCUUUAAAGUGCUCCUCAGUUCGGAUUGGGGUCUGCAACCCGACCCCAUGAAGCUGGAUUCGCUAGUAAUCGCGCAUCAGCCAUGGCGCGGUGAAUACGUUCCCGGGCCUUGUACACACCGCCCGU